rnacentral:sRNA from 1 species
CCGGGCCCGAGCGGAUCGCGGGCUCGGGCUGCGGGGCUCCGGCUGCGGGCGCUGGGCCGCGAGGCGCGGAGCUUGGGAGCGCAGCCCAGGCCGUGCCGCGCGGCGCCAUGAAGGGCAAGGAGGAGAAGGAGGGCGGCGCACGGCUGGGCGCUGGCGGCGGAAGCCCCGAGAAGAGCCCGAGCGCGCAGGAGCUCAAGGAGCAGGGCAAUCGUCUGUUCGUGGGCCGAAAGUACCCGGAGGCGGCGGCCUGCUACGGCCGCGCGAUCGUGAGUGCGCCCGCGCGGGGAGGGCGGCGGCGGCGGCCCCACCGAGGGUCUGGCUCCUCUUCGGGGCGUGUCCUGGGCUCCCAAAGCCCAGCCGUGGUUCUCGAGCCCAGCGCCGGGUGCCGGAGAACGAGGGUGCGAUGCUGGAUGGAGGCCGGCCGGGUGGGGGGAGGGCAGGGGCCCUCGCCCCUUGAGGACCCCAGGUCCUAAGCCCGGACUCUCCAAAGAUUUGGAAAACUUUAUAAAACCAAGUGGAGUCAAGCGGAUAGGCUCAGCCAGUACUCCACUGUGCACAGAUCCUUGGACCCAGGGGCUUUGACAACUGAGAAACCUAGUUUCUUGAUUCUAGCCAGAGCGCAGAAGCUGGGACGGGCCGUGGGUCAGAGGGGGCACGCUGAGCCUACGCCCUCAUGCGGCUGGCCCGGCCUUGGUCCCUAGACCCGGAACCCGCUGGUGGCCGUGUAUUACACCAACCGGGCCUUGUGCUACCUGAAGAUGCAGCAGCACGAGCAGGCCCUGGCCGACUGCCGGCGCGCCCUGGAGCUGGACGGGCAGUCUGUGAAGGCGCACUUCUUCCUGGGGCAGUGCCAGCUGGAGAUGGAGAGCUAUGAUGAGGCCAUCGCCAAUCUGCAGCGAGCUUACAGCCUGGCCAAGGAGCAGCGGCUGAACUUCGGGGACGACAUCCCCAGCGCUCUUCGAAUCGCGAAGAAGAAGCGCUGGAACAGCAUUGAGGAGCGGCGCAUCCACCAGGAGAGCGAGCUGCACUCCUACCUCUCCAGGCUCAUUGCCGCGGAGCGUGAGAGGGAGCUGGAAGAGUGCCAGCGAAACCACGAGGGUGAUGAGGACGACAGCCACGUCCGGGCCCAGCAGGCCUGCAUUGAGGCCAAGCACGUGAGGGUGCCCCCCACCCACAUGUGGGUCUGUGUGUGUGCACGUGGCGUGGGAGCAUCCCCGCCUUGUGUUGGAUCUGUGCCCCAUGGAGGAGGGAGGUGGGGUGUCUCCCCCAAGCGCAGCACUCAACUCUUCACAGGACAAGUACAUGGCGGACAUGGACGAGCUCUUUUCUCAGGUGGAUGAGAAGAGGAAGAAGCGAGACAUCCCCGACUACCUGUGUGGCAAGAUCAGCUUUGAGCUGAUGCGGGAGCCGUGCAUCACGCCCAGUGGCAUCACCUACGACCGCAAGGACAUCGAGGAGCACCUGCAGCGUGUGGGUCAUUUUGACCCCGUGACCCGGAGCCCCCUGACCCAGGAGCAGCUCAUCCCCAACUUGGCUAUGAAGGAGGUUAUUGACGCAUUCAUCUCUGAGAAUGGCUGGGUGGAGGACUACUGAGGUUCCCUGCCCUACCUGGCAUCCUGGUCCAGGGGAGCCCUGGGCAGAAGCCCCUGGCCCCUAUACAUAGUUUAUGUUUCUUGGCCACCCCGACCCCUUCCCCCAAGUAAGUUCUGCUGUUGGACUCUGGACUGUUCCCUCUCUCAGCAUCGCUUUUGCUGGGCCGUGAUCGUCCCCCUUUGUGGGCUGGAAAAGCAGGUGAGGGUGGGCUGGGCUGAGGCCACUGCCGCCAC